AGAUAAGUGGAAAUCCCACAGGUGGGACUGAUCCUCUCCAGAAAGAUAGGAGGGCCGGAAUCUUGCCAAAGAGGUAGGGAGAGAGCUGACCAGGUAGCCAGUCACCGCCAGGGAGGUCCCUUAGGCCGUCGGUCAAGGACACAGAGAUAAGUGGAAAUCCUACAGGUGGGACUCAUCUUCUCCAGAAGGAUAGGAGGGCCCAGACCUUGCCGAGGAGGCAGGGAGAGCUGACUAGGUAGCCAGUCACCGCCAGGGAGGUCCCCCGGGCCGUCGGUCAAGGACACAGCAUGGAAAGGACGAAUAAAAACACCUAACAAGGCAACACAGAGAACAUUCUGCAAAGAUCAAUUUACCUUAGCAAUCAGCGAUGUCAUCAUGUGUCUCAUAGAAAAAAGAUAAUUCUGGGACUUCCCUGGUGGCUGUGUGGUUAAGAAUGCGCUUGCCAGUGCAGGGGACAUGGGUUCGAUCCCUAAUCCGGGAAGAUCCUACAUGUCACAGAGCAACUCAACCUGUGUACCACAGCUACUGAGCCUGUGCUCUUAGAGACUGCAAAGCACAACUGCUGAGCCCAUACGCUGCCACUGCUAAAGCCUGAAGGCCUGUGCUCCGCAACAAGAAAA